GAUGAAGAACGUAGCGAAAUGCGAUACGUAAUGUGAAUUGCAAAUUCAGUGAAUCAUCGAGUCUUUGAACGCACAUUGCGCCCCCUGGUAUUUCGGGGGGCAUGCCUGUCCGAGCGUCAUUGCUGCCCUCAAGCACGGCUUGUGUGUUGGGCCCCGUCCUCCGAUCCCGGGGGACGGGCCCGAAAGGCAGCGGCGGCACCGCGUCCGGUCCUCGAGCGUAUGGGGCUUUGUCACCCGCUCUGUAGGCCCGGCCGGCGCUUGCCGAUCAACCCAAAUUUUUAUCCAGGUUGACCUCGGAUCAGGUAGGGAUACCCGCUGAACUUAAGCAUAUCAAUAAGCGGAGGA
rnacentral:misc_RNA from 1 species